AGAGCCAAGGAUCUGCCCUCACUCUGCUCCUGCUCACACCCCCGGCAGGUGGGAUUUAUCUACAUUUUACGGAUGAGAAAAUAGAGACGGGUCAGCAAUUUCAGCAGUGGGCACAGCUCUUCUGUACGUCAGCCCCAAGGUGUCUCAAGGUGACAUCCAAAAAUUGAGCUCAGCCGCACAUUGUAUUAGAGCCUUUCGGCCAAAACAACCUUGCCCAGUGGAAGUGCAAUUAGAUGAUAGACAAGCACUCUGGGCAGAGGGCUGCAAAGCAAGUGUAAUCCUUCAACUGGGCUUCCCCUGCACCUGCUCUGCCAGCACAAUCUAGUGAAGUCAACGGAACAUUGGGACAUACCUAGAACACUCAGCAGCUCAGCAGGAAGGAAGCAACAGCAGGACAAGGACACCAGGGCAGACCUCCGCUCUGAUGAGAGAAGCCAUUGGCUCGUCAACAUCCAUGGAGAGCAGAUGGAAGGUGAAAUCCUAG